UUAAUUGAAACCAAAAUAGAGGUAAAUCAUUGUUAAUGAUUAAAGUGGAUUUUUCCCAAUUAAA
rnacentral:tRNA from 1 species